rnacentral:lncRNA from 12 species
AUGGAUCCACCCUGGAAGGUGGAGAUCACCAGAAUGAGGAGGGGCACUCCUGGAGCCCCCUGCACAACUCAGCAUCCUGGUGGCGAGGAAGAACAUGGGAUCUGGGUGGACACAUGGACUCCCCUCAGGCUUCAUCUUCACAAACCGAAUGACCUCUGGCAAGGGACUUACCUCAGUUCUGCAUCUGUAAACUGCAGAUUUACCCCCAUAGGUCUAUUGUGAAAUUAGAUGAAAAAAACCUUUAAUUGUAAAGUGUUUGCACUAGUCCCUGGCAUAAAGUGCUCAAAAGUUGGUGAAGCUAAAGGAGAGUGGAGGGGUGGUGACCCAGGGAAAGAAGGAUGGAAUGGAGUGCAUUCAAACCCCUCCACCAAUAUUCUGCAUCCGGGCAUUCCCAUGGCACCUACUACACACUGCUCUUAGCACUUCCAUGGUUAGACACCGCCCUCUCAAUCACCCCAUGAAAUGGGUGCUCUCUCUAUCUCCAUAUCAAAGAUGAGAAGUCAAGCUCAGAGAGGUUGAGUGGGCAGUCCAAGGUCACACUGGCCAACAGGCGGUCAAGGGGAAGUAUGCCUUGGCUGGCUGGCUCCAGAGUCCCCAUUCUCAACCACUCCCCGCUCCCUAGGCCAUGUGAACUAAACACUUAAUCCUCCCAGCAACCCCAUGAGCUGGGCACCAGUAUGGUCUCCAGUGUGUGCAUGAAGAAAUUGAAGCAGGAAGAGGUUAACUGGUUUCAAGGUAGAGAAAACUUCACCUGAGCUUAAUAUCACCAAUGCUAGCAGCACCAGCAAUAAGGAUCAGCAUGUACUGUGAUGCAUUAUGUACCAGGCACUGUCCUAACCACUGUGCCUAUCGUAGAUACAUUAACUUGCUACAUCUUUUCAAUUACUCCAUGGCACGGAUUCUAUUAUGACUUUACCUGUUGCCUGAGGCCAAGCAUAAACAUCAGAAAUGGCUGCUGUAGGUGAGAUAGGUGGUGAGGGGCAGAACAGAGACUCCACCCCAGGACAGGUUGGCUUCAGACCCUCCCUCAAAACCCCUGUGCUGUGCACAAGCACACACACACACACACACACACACAUAAUCACACAAGAUACAAUAUUGAGCUAUGUUCUUAACUGCUAUUCUAUAUGUUAAAAGUCAAAUCAUUGGGCACCUGGGUGGCUCAGUCAGUGAAGCGUCUGACUUCGGCUCAGGUCAUGAUCUCAGGGUCCCGGGAUCAAGCUCCAUGUUGGGCUCCUUGCUCAGCGGAGAGUCUGCCUCUCCCUCUCCCUCUGCCCCUCCCCUUGCUCGUGUUCUCUCUCUCUCUCUCUCAAAUAAAUAAAUAAAAUAUUUUUUAAAAAAGGUAAAU